GAUGAACGCUGGCGGCGUGCCUAAUACAUGCAAGUCGAGCGAACAGACGAGGAGCUUGCUCCUUUGACGUUAGCGGCGGACGGGUGAGUAACACGUAGGUAACCUACCUAUAAGACUGGGAUAACUUCGGGAAACCGGAGCUAAUACCGGAUAAUAUUUCGAACCGCAUGGUUCGAUAGUGAAAGAUGGCUUUGCUAUCACUUAUAGAUGGACCUGCGCCGUAUUAGCUAGUUGGUAGGGUAACGGCUUACCAAGGCAACGAUACGUAGCCGACCUGAGAGGGUGAUCGGCCACACUGGAACUGAGACACGGUCCAGACUCCUACGGGAGGCAGCAGUAGGGAAUCGUCCGCAAAGGGCGAAAGCCUGACGGAGCAACGCCGCGUGAGUGAUGAAGGUCUUCGGAUCGUAAAACUCUGUUAUUAGGGAAGAACAAACGUGCAAGGAACUGUGCACGUCUUGACGGUACCUAAUCAGAAAGCCACGGCUAACUACGUG
rnacentral:rRNA from 1 species